AUGUACUACGCCCGCGCCUUCGAGUGCCGCGCCCAGGCUAUGCAGCAGGCAGCCCCGGCUCGAGGAGGUCGACAGGCCACCCGGCAGGCCCCGACGCCGGGCCGGCCACCCCCGGCCGCUCCAACGACUACCACCCCGGCCACGGCGCGGCCCUUCCGUCGGCUCUCUCCGGUGGAGCAGAUGGAGCGGCGGCGCCAGGGCCUCUUCUUUAACUGCGACGAGCCCUAUACGCCGAGCCAUGUCUACCCUCGCCUCUUCUACUUGGAGACGGCCGACUACAUCGAGGAGGACAGCCUGACCGACGGGGCCGACACACUGCCACCCCCAGCGGCUGCGGAGGCCGCACCCGUCGCCGCCCCGGCGACGGCACUCGUGGUCUCUCUCCACGCGCUUGCAGGCAUCCGCGACGAGCGGACCAUGCUAUUGCCGGUGAUGAUCCACGGCGAGCGCUUGGUGGCCUUGGUGGACACAGGCUCCACCCAUAACUUCCUACCCGAGGAUACCAUGCGGCGCUUAGCACUUCAGCCGACGAGCAGGGAGCAACUUCGGGUCACGGUGGCCAACGGCGAUCAUCUCCGCUGUCAUGGACUCGCCCGGGACGUCCCCAUCACCAUCGGCGACGAACAAUUCUCUAUCACAUGUGCGGGCAUCGACUUGGGCUGCUUCGACUUCAUCCUUGGCGUCGACUUCCUUCAGACCCUCGGUCCCAUCCUUUGGGACUUCGACGCUCUGACGAUGACCUUCUGGCAACUGGGCCGCCGCAUCCGGUGGGACGGCAUUGGGGGUGCCGCUCCGGCGACGCCGCAGCUCCAGCUAACUGCGGCAACCUCUGAGGCCGAGCAUCCCCUACUGGAUCACCUCCUGCAGCAGCACAGCGACCUCUUCGACGAGCCACAGGGCCUGCCACCGGCCCGGGUGUAUGAUCAUUGUAUUCAUCUACUGCCGGACUCCGCACCAGUGGCGGUUCGUCCUUACCGCUAUCCGCAGCUGCAGAAGGACGAGUUGGAGCGGCAGUGUGCACUCAUGCUCGCCGCGGGCAUCAUUCGGAUCUCCACGUCGCCCUUCACCGCGCCGGUCCUCCUCGUCCGCAAGUCGGACGGCACGUGGCGCUUCUGCAUCGACUACCGCGCCCUUAAUGCGCUCACACUCAAGGAUAAGUUUCCUAUUCCGCUGGUCGAUGAGCUACUGGACGAGCUCCAUGGGGCGAGCUUCUUCACCAAGCUCAAUCUCCGGUCGGGGUACUACCAGGUGCGCAUGCACCCGGACGACAUCGCCAAGACGGCGUUCCGGACUCACCACGGCCACUUCGAGUUCUUGGUGAUGCCCUUUGGCCUCGCCAACGCGCCGGCAACCUUCCAGGCCCUGAUGAACGACGUCCUCCAUCCCUACUUACGUCGGUUUGUGCUCGUUUUCUUUGAUGACAUUCUUAUCUACAGCGCCUCGUGGGCGGAGCACCUCCAUCACGUCGCCAUCGUCUUGAACGAGCUUCGGGCGCAUCAUCUUCAUCGUAAGCGCUCGAAGUGCUCUUUCGGGACGCCUUCAGUCACCUACCUUGGCCACGUCAUUUCGGCUGACGAGGUUGCUAUGGAUGCCGACAAGGUGGCGGCCGUCGCUGCCUAG
rnacentral:rRNA from 1 species